CCUACGGGAGGCUGCAGUGGGGAAUAUUGGACAAUGGGGGGAACCCUGAUCCAGCCAUGCCGCGUGUGUGAAGAAGGCCCUCGGGUUGUAAAGCACUUUCAGUGAGGAAGAACGCCUGGUGGUUAAUACCCAUCAGGAAAGACAUCACUCACAGAAGAAGCACCGGCUAACUCCGUGCCAGCAGCCGCGGUAAUACGGAGGGUGCGAGCGUUAAUCGGAAUUACUGGGCGUAAAGCGCGCGUAGGUGGCUUGAUAAGCCGGUUGUGAAAGCCCCGGGCUCAACCUGGGAACGGCAUCCGGAACUGUCAAGCUAGAGUGCAGGGGAGGAAGGUAGAAUUCCCGGUGUAGCGGUGAAAUGCGUAGAGAUCGGGAGGAAUACCAGUGGCGAAGGCGGCCUUCUGGACUGACACUGACACUGAGGUGCGAAAGCGUGGGUAGCAAACAGGAUUAGAUACCCUGGUAGUC
rnacentral:rRNA from 1 species